GAUGAACGCUAGCGGGAGGCCUAACACAUGCAAGCCGAGCGGUAUUUGUUCUUCGGAACAGAGAGAGCGGCGCACGGGUGCGGAACACGUGUGCAACCUGCCUUUAUCUGGGGGAUAGCCUUUCGAAAGGAAGAUUAAUACCCCAUAAUAUAUUGAGUGGCAUCAUUUGAUAUUGAAAACUCCGGUGGAUAGAGAUGGGCACGCGCAAGAUUAGAUAGUUGGUGAGGUAACGGCUCACCAAGUCAAUGAUCUUUAGGGGGCCUGAGAGGGUGAUCCCCCACACUGGUACUGAGACACGGACCAGACUCCUACGGGAGGCAGCAGUGAGGAAUAUUGGACAAUGGGUUAGCGCCUGAUCCAGCCAUCCCGCGUGAAGGACGACGGCCCUAUGGGUUGUAAACUUCUUUUGUAUAGGGAUAAGCCUACUCUCGUGAGAGUAGCUGAAGGUACUAUACGAAUAAGCACCGGCUAACUCCGUG
rnacentral:rRNA from 1 species